ACCCGGGUAGUCCCAGCUGUAAACGAUGCAGACUCGAUGAUGCAUUGGCAUAUAGCCAUUGCAGUGUCGCAGGGAAGCCGUUAAGUCUGCCGCCUGGGAAGUACGUACGCAAGUAUGAAACUUAAAGGAAUUGGCGGGGGAGCACCACAAGGGGUGAAGCCUGCGGUUCAAUUGGAGUCAACGCCAGAAAUCUUACCCGGAGAGACAGCAGAAUGAAGGUCAAGCUGAAGACUUUACCAGACAAGCUGAGAGGUGGUGCAUGGCCGUCGCCAGCUCGUGCCGUGAGAUGUCCUGUUAAGUCAGGUAACGAGCGAGAUCCCUGCCACUAGUUGCUAUCAUUAUUCUCAGGAAUAGUGGGGCGAAUUAGUGGGACUGCCGUUGUUAAAACGGAGGAAGGAAGGGGCUACGGCAGGUCAGUAUGCCCCGAAACUCUGGGGCCACACGCGGGCUGCAAUGGUAGUGACAAUGAGUUCCAAACUCGAAAGAGAGUGGCAAUCUCUAAACGCUACCACAGUUAUGACUGAGGGCUGUAACUCGCCCUCACGAAUAUGGAAUCCCUAGUAACCGCGUGUCAUUACCGCGCGGUGAAUACGUCCCUGCUCCUUGCACACACCGCCCGUCGUUUCAUCGAAGUUUGCUUUUAGCGAGGUGAUGUUUAAUUGGCAUUAUCGAACUUGAGGUAAGUGACGAGGGAAAAGUCGUAACAAGGUGACCGUAGGGGAACCUGCGGUCG
rnacentral:rRNA from 1 species